GAUGAACGCUGGCGGCGUGCCUAAUACAUGCAAGUCGAGCGAACGGACGAGAAGCUUGCUUCUCUGAUGUUAGCGGCGGACGGGUGAGUAACACGUGGAUAACCUACCUAUAAGACUGGGAUAACUUCGGGAAACCGGAGCUAAUACCGGAUGAUAUUUUGAACCGCAUGGUUCAAAAGUGAAAGACGGUCUUGCUGUCACUUAUAGAUGGAUCCGCGCUGCAUUAGCUAGUUGGUAAGGUAACGGCUUACCAAGGCAACGAUGCAUAGCCGACCUGAGAGGGUGAUCGGCCACACUGGAACUGAGACACGGUCCAGACUCCUACGGGAGGCAGCAGUAGGGAAUCUUCCGCAAUGGGCGAAAGCCUGACGGAGCAACGCCGCGUGAGUGAUGAAGGUCUUCGGAUCGUAAAACUCUGUUAUUAGGGAAGAACAUAUGUGUAAGUAACUGCGCACAUCUUGACGGUACCUAAUCAGAAAGCCACGGCUAACUACGUG
rnacentral:rRNA from 1 species